rnacentral:rRNA from 1 species
CGCUGGCGGCGUGCCUAACACAUGCAAGUCGAACGGAGAUACACGCUGAAGUGAGAGCAGCUUGCUGAAGGAUCUUCUUGUGUAUCUUAGUGGCGGACGGGUGAGUAAUGCGUAAGCAACCUGCCUACACGGACUGGGAUAACACCUGGAAACGGGCGCUAAUACCGGAUAGGUAAUGAGAAGGCAUCUUCUUAUUAUUAAAGGUUUGAAACACAAGUAGAUGGGCUUACGGUGCAUUAGCUAGUUGGUGAGGUAACGGCCCACCAAGGCGAUGAUGCAUAGCCGGCCUGAGAGGGUGAACGGCCACAUUGGGACUGAGACACGGCCCAGACUCC